UACGUAGGUGGCAAGCGUUGUCCGGAUUUAUUGGGUUUAAAGGGUGCGUAGGCGGCCUUGUAAGUCAGUGGUGAAAUACUCUAGCUUAACUAGAGGGGUGCCAAUGAUACUGCAGGGCUUGAGUACAGAUGAGGUAGGCGGAAUUGACGGUGUAGCGGUGAAAUGCGCAGAUAUCGGGAAGAACACCCGUGGCGAAGGCGGCUCUCUGGGCGGUACUGACGCUGAGGAGCGAAAGCAUGGGGAGCGAACAGG
rnacentral:rRNA from 1 species